AGUGAACGCUGGCGGUAGGCCUAACACAUGCAAGUCGAACGGCAGCACAGUAAGAGCUUGCUCUUACGGGUGGCGAGUGGCGGACGGGGGAGGAAUACAUCGGCAUCUACUUUUUCGUGGGGGAUAACGUAGGGAAACUUACGCUAAUACCUCAUACGACCUACGGGUGAAAGCAGGGGAUCUUCGGACCUUGCGCGAUUGAAUGAGCCGGUGUCGGAUUAGCUAGUUGGCGGGGUAAAGGCCCACCAAGGCGACGAUCCGUAGCUGGUCUGAGAGGAUGAUCAGCCACACUGGAACUGAGACACGGUCCAGACUCCUACGGGAGGCAGCAGUGGGGAAUAUUGGACAAUGGGCGCAAGCCUGAUCCAGCCAUACCGCGUGAGUGAAGAAGGCCUUCGGGUUGUAAAGCCCUUUUGUUGGGAAAGAAAAGCAGCAGGAUAAUACCCCGCUGUUCUGACGGUACCCAAAGAAUAAGCACCGGCUAACUUCGUG
rnacentral:rRNA from 1 species